CAUUUUACAGAGGGUAAAGUGAGGGAGUCAAGGCCUGGUGGUAAAGUUGAAUUCCUGCCUUCCACUGACACCCCCCCCCCCAAUUUUCAUCUUGUCUGACCUAUCUACUCAUUAAUGCCCAGGCCUUUUAGAGAAUAAGUGAUAUGGACAGCAGAAGUUGUUUCCUUUUACAGAGCGGUUCGUUGAGGUAGCCCCAGCUAGUUAUUGCUGCUUUUCUCUUCCUCCUCCAUCUCUCCCUGCCAUACAUCCUAUCUAGAGUCAGGUCAGGCCUAAGUCUGCCUUCAUUCUCCAGUGGGGCCUGAAAGCCACACUUAGCCCCAUACAAUUUUCCCCACCCAUGGAGCUGCUACAAGGCUGCUUCAGUCACACAUCCACCUGGGGCAGCUUUGGGAGGCCCAUCCCUACUUAAGACUCAGACACUGGUCCUUCAUUCCAGGGAGGCUAGGACACAGGCAGCCUGUGAGACAGGAGCCAUUUUGGGGGGUUGAAAGAAGAAAAGCUAUUUGAGAUUCCUCUUUUGUCACCGUUGCUUUCUUAACCACAUAGCUAAGAGCCCCAUUCACUAUUUCAUUGGCCCAAGGAGGCCUGGCUCCAGUAGAGCACUGAGCCUGGUCGCCACGGAGACCUCGGAGGCUCUGGAGAGAGAACCCAGAGAGGCCUGUAAAGAAAAGGCCCGCGUCCGCUGUCCGUGGUGCUGACGGGCGCGCUGGGACAGGGAGAGGGCUUGCAGGAGCAAGAGGCGUUGCAGACUCGGACUCAAUUAGGUUUUCCGGGUAAUUUAGGAGUAGGGUGUAAUCCGUUCUGGUGGCGAGUUACAGGAGUCUGGACCCCAAACCCAGAAAUACCGGCUCCUACUUGCUCUCAUAGGAGGACAGACCUCGACUUUCCCCUGCCUGGCCCCAGCGCCCUUUCACCCGGCUUGGAGCCGGAAAUCCCCAGUCCAGAUUUGUGAAUCGAGUUCCCGGGGCGAGGGGGCGGGAGAGGUGGGGAGAGCUGGCGGAAGGGAAGGCGGGAGCAGCCGCCCAUUGGCUGGAAUUUGGCGCAGUCAGCGAGGUGCCGUCAUCUCUCUGGGUUUGGGAGGAGUGAGGGAGGAGCACUUGGGUCACCCGUGGCUGUCGCCAUAGUAACCAGACUGAGCGGGCAGGGCCAUCUUUCCACUCUCCCACCUCUGUCGGGCGGUGGAGGAAAACAAUCCUGGUCCACCUUAUUUGCAACUAGUUAGUGAGACUACUUGAUUGGAAUUUCUGCCUUAGACGAGCCUAACGGGGAUGGGAAAGAGAUCUGAUAGCCUACAGAUAGAUCUGAGACCCCCAAACAUUCUGCCCUUAGGGGCCCGCUAGAUACUGCCCCUGAACUUAUAAACACAGCACCCUUCCAGUUGCUGCACUCACUCGGGUGCACAGCGCCACACCCACCUCAAAGAACCUGUGGUUUGGCACUUGGAGACCUAGAAUGAGAAAAAAAAGCCUCAGUGCAGGGUGUCAAAUUAAAUCUCACUUUCCUUACCAUGCCCCAAGGCAUGAGACACUGCCAUAAUCCGAUUAGGAGGUGAGGGACUGGAGGAGGAUCAGCAUGAAUACAAGGAAGAAUUAGCCGCCUGGGUCAAACUUGGUCAGACUCCUGUUUUUUCAGGGAAGGGGGGGUUAAAUGGAGAAAGGCUCAGAAUAACCUUCUGAGAAGGCAAGAUGAGAGGGGAGUAAAUGCAGAAAUAGAGUGAAGUCCCUUUAUUGCCUAGAAGCGAACCUCUGGGAAGGUGUCCAGGCUGAGGUGGGAGGUGAUGAAGAGGACCCAGAGCUCUAGAGUGAACCCAGCACAGGAGAGGGAUGGACUGAGGAAAGAAUGGAGAUGGAGGAUACAGACAGAAACCCAGCUGGAGCCAUGACUCAGCACUUCCCCUCAGCAAAGGGCCUGAGGUGACUCUCCCAUGGGGCAGCAGAGAGGAGAAGGGAGCAGGAAAGCAAAUGGGCAAGUAAAUAGUGAUCUGACCAUUUGCAUGAUACAUGCUGAAACAUCUAUUGAUAUACGACACAUUUUAACCUAGAAGCAGGUACAUAUGCACUUAUAGUGAUGAAAUUUCAUUCAGUUAUAACACAGACACAUCUCUACUCACCUUCCUUGCCCCUCUUCCUGGAGCAGAGGACAUCCUGUCCUGAGAGAUAUGCUUGCCUGUCCCUGGAAUACCCUGGCACUUAUUAGGAAAGGAGAAGUAAAAAAAAAUUUGCAGACAUGUGGAGGGGUGUGUGUGUAUGUGUGUGUGUAUGUGAGAGAGAGAUGGUUGUCAAGGUAACUGCUUUGCCUGCCAAGCAGGGUGCCCAGCAACCAGAGCAUCUGGCAGUAUCCAAGGGGACAUCCUGUGGCCUCUACCCACUGAGACUCUGCCUCAGGCACCCAGAUGGGCAUCUCUGGAAGAUUUCUACAACAGAGGCUGCCAAAGCAGCCCCUCUGAGCAUGCCACCAUGACCAGGGACAUCUGGCAACCAAGGAGAGGCCUGACCUUCAUGUGCCCCACUUAAGUGCUCCUUUUCACCCUCUUAUACAUUGUAAGCAAUAUUUGCCACAAAUGCCCUCAAGACAGCCAGGGUUAAACUUUAAAGACCUUUAUUAAGACCAUGACCUUUCCUCUCAGCACCUUGCCAGACAUCCAACAAGAAGGUCAUCUAUAACCACACAGGUUAGGUGUGUAAAUGACGGAUAGAAAAAUUGCUUUAGUUCUGUGUGAUGAAAGAUUGGGUAUAAGACAGAUAAACUGCAGGGCACAGUCUCAGGAUUCACCUUCCUUUGACCUGAGUUUGAUAUAUUGAUGAGGUUUUUAGAAGAUAGAUCUUUUUCACUUGCAGGCUCGCUGGCUGACUUUUCACUCCCUCAGCCCCGACUUCCUAUUUUUUCAGCAUUCAGGCUUAACCUCUCAAUGUCUGGCUUAAAAUUCUCCCAGUUCAGUUUGGGCUUUCACGGCAUUUCUUUCUCCUUAGAUCCUCCUCACUAUUUCUUUAGCGAAGUCUCUUUCUACUUGGUGAUAUUGCCCACAUAGUUACUCAGUUUUUACAUGUCCCCCCCAACCUCCGCCUUUUUUUUUUUUUUACUCUUUGGUCAUAGUCUCCUGUGACUGACAUCUAUCUACCUUCAAGCCCAUAAAUCAUAAAAUUAGUCUGUGUGUGUGUGUGUAUAUAUAUAUGGAGGGGUGAUGAUAAACAAUGUAAAUAGGAAAAGAGGUGUUACUUUCUACAUUUUACUCCUUAAAAAAUAGUUUACACUUUAUACCAGAAAAACACAGACUAUCAAGAAAAGCAGGGAGUUCCCCUGUGGCUCAGCAGGUUAUGAACCUGACUAGUAUCCAUGAGGAUGUGGGUUCUAUCCCUGACCUCGCUCAGUGGUUUAAGGAUCCGGCAUUGCUGGAGGUCCCAUAGGGGAUCAGUGGAACCGAAUUUGACUAGCAUCCAUGAGGAUGCAGUUUUGACCCCUGGCCUCUCUCACUGGGUUAAAGAUCUGGCGUUGCCAUGAACUGUGGUGUAGGUUGCAGACCUGGCUUGGAUCUGGCAUUGCUGUGGCUGUGGCAUAGGCCGGCAGCUGUAGAUCCAAUUCAACCCCUAGCCUAGGAACUUCCAUAUGCUGCAGGUGUGGCCUAAAAAAAAAAAAAAAAAAAAAAAAAAAAAAAGUAGGAAAGAUGUCGUGGUGGAAAACUUGCUCUACCAGAUAUUAAAAUUUAUUAUAGAACUAAAGCAGCUAAAACAUAAGGCACUGAAAACAAGAAUAGACAUAUCAAUAAGCAGAAUAGAUAAUCCAAAGCUCAACUGCAGCAUACAUGGGAACUUAACAUAUGACAAAGGCAUCACUUCAAAUCCACUGGGAAAAGAUGGAUUAGUUAGUAAAUGGUUUUGGGACAACUGGGAAUUCAUUUAUAUGAUGAAAAAAAGGUCAAUCCUUCCUCAUUCUUUACCCUCCAGAUAAGUUCCAAAUUGAUUUU
rnacentral:lncRNA from 1 species